rnacentral:rRNA from 1 species
GAUGAACGCUGGCGGCGUGCCUAAUACAUGCAAGUCGAGCGAACAGACGAGGAGCUUGCUCCUCUGACGUUAGCGGCGGACGGGUGAGUAACACGUGGAUAACCUACCUAUAAGACUGGGAUAACUUCGGGAAACCGGAGCUAAUACCGGAUAAUAUAUUGAACCGCAUGGUUCAAUAGUGAAAGACGGUUUUGCUGUCACUUAUAGAUGGAUCCGCGCCGCAUUAGCUAGUUGGUAAGGUAACGGCUUACCAAGGCAACGAUGCGUAGCCGACCUGAGAGGGUGAUCGGCCACGCUGGAACUGAGACACGGUCCAGACUCCUACGGGAGGCAGCAGUAGGGAAUCUUCCGCAAUGGGCGAAAGCCUGACGGAGCAACGCCGCGUGAGUGAUGAAGGUCUUCGGAUCGUAAAACUCUGUUAUUAGGGAGGAACAAAUGUGUAAGUAACUAUGCGCGUCUUGACGUUACCUAAUCAGAAAGCCACGGCUAACUACGUG